GACGUAGGGCGCGAGCGUUGUCCGGAUUUAUUGGGCGUAAAGAGCUCGUAGGCGGCUUGUCGCGUCGACCGUGAAAACUUGGGGCUUAACCCCAAGCCUGCGGUCGAUACGGGCAGGCUAGAGUUCGGUAGGGGAGACUGGAAUUCCUGGUGUAGCGGCGAAAUGCGCAGAUAUCAGGAGGAACACCGGUGGCGAAGGCGGCUAUCUGGACCGACAUUGACGCUGAGGCGCGAAAGCGUGGGGAGCAAACAGG
rnacentral:rRNA from 1 species